rnacentral:rRNA from 1 species
UACGUAGGCAGCGAGCGUUGUUCGGAGUUACUGGGCGUAAAGGGUGUGUAGGCGGUUGUUUAAGUUUGGUGUGAAAUCUCCCGGCUCAACUGGAGGGUGCGUCGAAUACUGAAUGACUUCGAGUGCGGGAGAGGAGAGUGGAAUUCCUGGUGUAGCGGUGAAAUGCGUAGAUAUCAGGAGGAACACCGGUGGUGUAGACGGCUCUCUGGACCGUAACUGGACGCUGAGACACGAAGCGUGGGUAGCAAACAGG